rnacentral:rRNA from 1 species
GACGAACGCUGGCGGCGUGCCUAAUACAUGCAAGUAGAACGCACAGUUUAUACCGUAGCUUGCUACACCAUAGACUGUGAGUUGCGAACGGGUGAGUAACGCGUAGGUAACCUGCCUGGUAGCGGGGGAUAACUAUUGGAAACGAUAGCUAAUACCGCAUAAUAUUAAUUAUUGCAUGAUAAUUAAUUGAAAGGUGCAAUUGCACCACUACCAGAUGGACCUGCGUUGUAUUAGCUAGUAGGUGAGGUAACGGCUCACCUAGGCGACGAUACAUAGCCGACCUGAGAGGGUGAUCGGCCACACUGGGACUGAGACACGGCCCAGACUCUUACGGGAGGCAGCAGUAGGGAAGCUUCGGCAAGGGACGAAAGUCUGACCGAGCAACGCCGCGUGAGUGAAGAAGGUUGUCGGAUCGUAAAGCUCUGUUGUAAGAGAAGAACGGGUGUGAGAGUGGAAAGUUCACACUGUGACGGUAUCUUAACAGAAAGGGACGGCUAACUACGUG